UACGAACUGUGCGAACGUUAUUCGGAAUCACUGGGCUUAAAGGGUGCGUAGGCCGCUGCCUAAGUCAGACGUGAAAUCCCCAGGCUCAACCUGGGAACUGCGUCUGAUACUGGAUGGCUUGAAUCCGGGAGAGGGAUGCAGAAUUCCAGGUGUAGCGGUGAAAUGCGUAGAUAUCUGGAGGAAUACCGGUGGCGAAGGCGGCAUCCUGGACCGGCAUUGACGCUGAGGAGCGAAAGCCAGGGGAGCAAACGGG
rnacentral:rRNA from 1 species